rnacentral:rRNA from 1 species
UACCAGCACCCCGAGUGGUCGGGACGUUUAUUGGGCCUAAAGCAUCCGUAGCCGGUUCCACAAGUCUUCCGUUAAAUCCAGCUGCUUAACAGGUGGGCUGCGGAAGAUACUAUAGAGCUAGGAGGCGGGAGAGGCAAGCGGUACUCGAUGGGUAGGGGUAAAAUCCGUUGAUCCAUUGAAGACCACCAGUGGCGAAGGCGGCUUGCCAGAACGCGCUCGACGGUGAGGGAUGAAAGCUGGGGGAGCAAACCGG